UACGAAGGGGGCUAGCGUUGUUCGGAAUUACUGGGCGUAAGGGCGCGUAGGCGGUACUUCAAGUCAGGCGUGAAAGCCCCGGGCUCAACCUGGGAACCGCGCUUGAGACUGGAGAACUAGAGUUCGGGAGAGGAUGGUGGAAUUCCCAGUGUAGAGGUGAAAUUCGUAGAUAUUGGGAAGAACACCGAUGGCGAAGGCAGCCAUCUGGACCGACACUGACGCUGAGGCGCGAAAGCGUGGGGAGCAAACAGG
rnacentral:rRNA from 1 species